GGGUCCAUGGCGUAGUUGGAUAUCGCACAAGCUUGCCAGGCAAAUUUGAGGUCUCCUGUUCGAACCAGGAUGGAUCCC